CAACUUUCAACAACGGAUCUCUUGGCUCUCGCAUCGAUGAAGAACGCAGCGAAAUGCGAUAAGUAAUGUGAAUUGCAGAAUUCAGUGAAUCAUCGAAUCUUUGAACGCACCUUGCGCUCCUUGGUAUUCCGAGGAGCAUGCCUGUUUGAGUGUUAUG
rnacentral:rRNA from 1 species